rnacentral:rRNA from 1 species
AUCAAGGCUGAGGCGUGAUGACGAGGCACUACGGUGCUGAAGCAACAAAUGCCCUGCUUCCAGGAAAAGCCUCUAAGCAUCAGGUAACAUCAAAUCGUACCCCAAACCGACACAGGUGGUCAGGUAGAGAAUACCAAGGCGCUUGAGAGAACUCGGGUGAAGGAACUAGGCAAAAUGGUGCCGUAACUUCGGGAGAAGGCACGCUGAUAUGUAGGUGAAGCGACUUGCUCGUGGAGCUGAAAUCAGUCGAAGAUACCAGCUGGCUGCAACUGUUUAUUAAAAACACAGCACUGUGCAAACACGAAAGUGGACGUAUACGGUGUGACGCCUGCCCGGUGCCGGAAGGUUAAUUGAUGGGGUUAGCGGUAACGCGAAGCUCUUGAUCGAAGCCCCGGUAAACGGCGGCCGUAACUAUAACGGUCCUAAGGUAGCGAAAUUCCUUGUCGGGUAAGUUCCGACCUGCACGAAUGGCGUAAUGAUGGCCAGGCUGUCUCCACCCGAGACUCAGUGAAAUUGAACUCGCUGUGAAGAUGCAGUGUACCCGCGGCAAGACGGAAAGACCCCGUGAACCUUUACUAUAGCUUGACACUGAACAUUGAGCCUUGAUGUGUAGGAUAGGUGGGAGGCUUUGAAGUGUGGACGCCAGUCUGCAUGGAGCCGGCCUUGAAAUACCACCCUUUAAUGUUUGAUGUUCUAACGUUGGCCCGUAAUCCGGGUUGCGGACAGUGUCUGGUGGGUAGUUUGACUGGGGCGGUCUCCUCCUAAAGAGUAACGGAGGAGCACGAAGGUUGGCUAAUCCUGGUCGGACAUCAGGAGGUUAGUGCAAUGGCAUAAGCCAGCUUGACUGCGAGCGUGACGGCGCGAGCAGGUGCGAAAGCAGGUCAUAGUGAUCCGGUGGUUCUGAAUGGAAGGGCCAUCGCUCAACGGAUAAAAGGUACUCCGGGGAUAACAGGCUGAUACCGCCCAAGAGUUCAUAUCGACGGCGGUGUUUGGCACCUCGAUGUCGGCUCAUCACAUCCUGGGGCUGAAGUAGGUCCCAAGGGUAUGGCUGUUCGCCAUUUAAAGUGGUACGCGAGCUGGGUUUAGAACGUCGUGAGACAGUUCGGUCCCUAUCUGCCGUGGGCGCUGGAGAACUGAGGGGGGCUGCUCCUAGUACGAGAGGACCGGAGUGGACGCAUCACUGGUGUUCGGGUUGUCAUGCCAAUGGCACUGCCCGGUAGCUAAAUGCGGAAGAGAUAAGUGCUGAAAGCAUCUAAGCACGAAACUUGCCCCGAGAUGAGUUCUCCCUGACUCCUUGAGAGUCCUGAAGGAACGUUGAAGACGACGACGUUGAUAGGCCGGGUGUGUAAGCGCAGCGAUGCGUUGAGCUAACCGGUACUAAUGAACCGUGAGG